AUGAACGCUGGCGGCGUGCCUAAUACAUGCAAGUCGAGCGAACAGACGAGGAGCUUGCUCCUCUGACGUUAGCGGCGGACGGGUGAGUAACACGUGGAUAACCUACCUAUAAGACUGGGAUAACUUCGGGAAACCGGAGCUAAUACCGGAUAAUAUAUUGAACCGCAUGGUUCAAUAGUGAAAGACGGUUUUGCUUUCACUUAUAGAUGGAUCCGCGCCGCAUUAGCUAGUUGGUAAGGUAACGGCUUACCAAGGCAACGAUGCGUAGCCGACCUGAGAGGGUGAUCGGCCACACUGGAACUGAGACACGGUCCAGACUCCUACGGGAGGCAGCAGUAGGGAAUCUUCCGCAAUGGGCGAAAGCUUGACGGAGCAACGCCGCGUGAGUGAUGAAGGUCUUCGGAUCGUAAAACUCUGUUAUUAGGGAAGAACAAAUGUGUAAGUAACUAUGCACGUCUUGACGGUACCUAAUCAGAAAGCCACGGCUAACUACGUG
rnacentral:rRNA from 1 species